UUUUGGAAUGUUGUAUAGUGGUGAGUAUCCCCGCCUGUCACGUGGGAGACCGGGGUUCAAUUCCCCACUCGAGAG